CUAGCGUUGCUCGGAAUCACUGGGCGUAAAGCGCACGUAGGCGGCUUUUUACGUCAGGGGUUAAAUCCUGGAGCUCAACUCCAGAACUGCCUUUGAUACUGGGAAGCUUGAGUCCGGGAGAGGUGAGUGGAACUCCGAGUGUAGAGGUGAAAUUCGUAGAUAUUCGGAAGAACACCAGUGGCGAAGGCGGCUCACUGGCCCGGUACUGACGCUGAGGUGCGAAAGCGUGGGGAGCAAACAGG
rnacentral:rRNA from 1 species